rnacentral:pre_miRNA from 1 species
CACUUGCUCCAGAUAUCGGCAUAUCUGGAGCAAAAUAGAAACUAUUUUGCUCCAGAUAUGCCGAUAUCUGUUUAAAUA